UGAGGAAUAUUGGUCAAUGGACGAAAGCCUGAACCAGCCAUGCCGCGUGCAGGAUGACGGCUCUAUGAGUUGUAAACUGCUUUUGUAUGAGGGUAAAGUUGGGUACGUGUACCCAUUUGAAAGUAUCAUACGAAUAAGGAUCGGCUAACUCCGUGCCAGCAGCCGCGGUAAUACGAAGGGGGCUAGCGUUGUUCGGAUUUACAUGGGCGUAAAGCGCAUGUAGGCGGCGCGCUAAGUCAGAGGUGAAAGCCUGGAGCUCAACUCCAGAACUGCCUUUGAUACUGGCGGGCUCGAGUAUGGAAGAGGUUGGUGGAACUGCGAGUGUAGAGGUGAAAUUCGUAGAUAUUCGCAAGAACACCAGUGGCGAAGGCGGCCAACUGGUCCAUUACUGACGCUGAGGUGCGAAAGCGUGGGGAGCAAACA
rnacentral:rRNA from 1 species